rnacentral:snoRNA from 1 species
UGGACCAUUGAUGGCAACUGGUGGCUUAGGUGAUUGUAUAUGCUGAUUGUAUAUGAAGAAUAGUAUGUAUCUGAAACUUUGAGGUCCAA